CUUUCAGAGAUGUCCCGCGGGGUUCACUUGGCUGUUGGCUUAGCAAGCACUUGCCCGCUGCUCCCGCCGCCCGAUACUUUUGCUUAGUUUAUUGAAAUUCUUCAUCUUUUUGUUUGAUUUUUCUGUUCUAAUACACGGUUAAUUCUAAUGGUUUUGCUUUAUGUAAUUGUAGGCAACAGAAACUGUGAACCCAAAAGCAUAUCCUCUUGCUGAUUCACAGCUUACAACG
rnacentral:misc_RNA from 1 species